UACGUAGGGUGCAAGCGUUAAUCGGAAUUACUGGGCGUAAAGCGUGCGCAGGCGGUCUGUUAAGACCGAUGUGAAAUCCCCGGGCUUAACCUGGGAACUGCAUUGGUGACUGGCAGGCUUUGAGUGUGGCAGAGGGAGGUAGAAUUCCACGUGUAGCAGUGAAAUGCGUAGAGAUGUGGAGGAACACCGAUGGCGAAGGCAGCCCCCUGGGUCAAAACUGACGCUCAUGCACGAAAGCGUGGGGAGCAAACAGG
rnacentral:rRNA from 1 species